ensembl:lncRNA
GCAAUGUAACCAAGCAGUUUUGGAGAACACAGCUCCUCAUCUUUCUCGCAGCUGUAUGCAAUGUUUGUGCAGAAUAUGUAGUGCACCGUGUAAUGGGCAGACCCAAGAAGCCAUGCAUUUCCAAAUGAAUUACAGAAAGCUUUUUUCUUAAAUUUACAUUCUGGUUUCAAUUGUAAGUACAGAGAAGGUCAAGCAACUAAUCAGGGAGGUGCAGUGUGAUUUGCAUAAGGAAACUAUGGCAGCUAACCCUUAAGGAGUUCACCUACAAUGAAUUAGAUUUUAAACUGAAAUUCAAAAUAAUAUCAAAGAUAUUGUGAUCUGCUGUGCCCUGCCAUCAUAGGGUUAAUGCUAAAAUAAUUUUGUUCCAAAGAAAUACAGUAACUAUAUUCAUUUCUAUAAUACUUGCAUUAAUAAUAUUGUCAUUAUAAAAGCUAUCAGUUUUACCCUGCUGGAUUAAAAUACGCACUACUCAUUUGAAGAUGUUGGUGUGGUGGGCACAUAAAAUUGGUUUAAGUGCAGUCAAGUAAAACAGGAAUAGUGGAAAAUAUUCUGGGCACAUCACUUCAAUUAGCUACACGCAUGAUCCAAAUGUUCUGAUUUUCAAUAAAGGACUCUAUGUCCUAAUUUGAUUUUCUCUAAGAAGUGACAUCUCAAAUCCUGCUGUAAUGCACAGAAUGAAAAUAUUAUACAAGUAUUUCUCUACCCUCUGUGACCUUUCUCAGAUCAUCUGGACACCUGAAUACUCCCUGCCAUUACAAUGGCACAGUGUGAGGACAAGCCCCUUCAUCUCCCCUGAUCUUCUCCUGUGGUUGUUGGCCUUUUGUACCACAGUUGCAGCAGAGCUUUUGAGAACAUUUCCUGACCUGUGUGAUCUUGAACUGUAAAUAGUGGAUAUGCUGCAGACCUUUAACGGUCCAAGCAUAUAUUACCCAGUUGCUGCAACUAUAGAUCACGUCAUAACUUGAUGUGCAAAUUGGUCUCUUCUAGUCCCAAAUCCAUUUUCACCUGUUAGGAAUCCCGCAGAUCUCAGAUGGGAUAGCAGAAAAACCAGC